UACGAAGGGGGCUAGCGUUGUUCGGAAUUACUGGGCGUAAAGCGCACGUAGGCGGCUUUCUAAGUCGGGGGUGAAAUCCUGGAGCUCAACUCCAGAACUGCCUUCGAUACUGGAGAGCUCGAGUCCGGGAGAGGUGAGUGGAACUGCGAAGUGUAGAGGUGAAAUUCGUAGAUAUUCGCAAGAACACCAGUGGCGAAGGCGGCUCACUGGCCCGGUACUGACGCUGAGGUGCGAAAGCGUGGGGAGCGAUCCGG
rnacentral:rRNA from 1 species